rnacentral:rRNA from 1 species
UACGUAGGGUGCAAGCGUUAAUCGGAAUUACUGGGCGUAAAGCGUGCGCAGGCGGCUUUGCAAGACAGAUGUGAAAUCCCCGGGCUUAACCUGGGAACUGCAUUUGUGACUGCAUGGCUAGAGUGCGGCAGAGGGGGAUGGAAUUCCGCGUGUAGCAGUGAAAUGCGUAGAUAUGCGGAGGAACGCCGAUGGCGAAGGCAAUCCCCUGGGCCUGCACUGACGCUCAUGCACGAAAGCGUGGGGAGCAAACAGG